rnacentral:lncRNA from 1 species
UAUCAACCAGGCUCACUCAAUACAACGGACCAGCUCAUCAAGGAUCUUAAAAACAUUGACAUAGUUUUUCAUAUAGGAGACAUUACGUAUGCCAAUGGAUAUAUAUCACAAUGGGACCAAUUUACUGCACAAGUGGAACCUAUUGCAUCAACUGUACCCUAUAUGAUUGCAAGGUUCGUGUCCUCAACAAUGUUCUGUUUUAUUAAGCUUCACCUGUUACUUUUCAUUCAACCUAUUGCAUCAACCGUACCCUAUAUGAUUGCAAGGUUCGUGUCCUCAACAAUGUUGUGUGUUAUUAAGCUUCACCCAUUACUUUUCAUUUAUUUCUUUUUCUUUGAAAUAUGAACUCCUUG